GUCUUAGUUACUUGAUCCACUUCCUUACCUCCUGUUCAUGCAACUUUGCUUGUUUUGCUUCUACUAAAAUGGUUCUAGGUGCUGUGUGGACAGGUGAUACAAAAGCCUGACUCACACGGUUGACAUUCAUUCAUUCCAUUUUCAUUUCUCUUUGAGUGAUCCUGACAAGCAGAGGGUCUCAGGUGGAUAUUACUGUGUCUUUGAGACCUCUCUAAUCCUUAUCUAUCUCUCAUUUUAAUACAGAGAGUUUCAUACGCAGACCUUAAGUAGACAUAGUAUCCAGCUAAAAGGGUCUCACUCUGUCACCCAGGCUGGAGUGCAGUGGCGCAGUCAUGGCUCCCUGUAACCUCAACCUCUCAGACUCCAGCAAUCCUCCUGCGACAGGUAUGCACCAUUACGCUUGUCUAAUCUUUGUAUUUUUUGUAGAGAUGGAGUUUCGCCAUGUUGUCUAGGCUGGUCUUGAACUCUUGGGCUCAAACCAUCUACCUACCUGCCUUGGCCUCUCCAAAUGCUGGGUUGAUAGGUAUGAGCUACCAUGCCCGGCCAAUGUACCAGCUUCUUUUAAAAUAAAUUCAAGCCAAAAUUAUAAAUGUAAAAUUACGUAGUUUAAAACUAGAGUUGUAGCUGAUGGUACAGGUGGCAUUUCAGUGUGGCAGAGUUAGUGAAGGUGCU
rnacentral:lncRNA from 10 species